rnacentral:rRNA from 1 species
CACCGCGGUUAUACGAAAGGUUCAAGUCGAUGAUUAAACGGCGUAAAGUGUGGUUUAGUAAAUUCGCUUGAAGGAUCAAAUAAUCUCAAUGCAGUUAUACGCCUACGAGAUCAAUAAGCCCAAAACGAAAGUUGUCCUCAUAUACUACAUUCCACGAAAGCCAAGACC